rnacentral:lncRNA from 1 species
GGAUAAUCAAUUACUUGCAGAUCACCACAUUUUUUGAAAAAAUGUGGAUUUCAUUAUCUAUAUCAUACUCGAUCACAAAUUGACUAAUUGAGGUAAAACUCAUAAGUUUAGUUCAAUCACCAUCUCUAUCAUACAAAUAAUGGUCUUAAUUAAAUCAAUGAUAUGAGAUGUAGAAACCUAUAAGACUUUACCCAUCAUAAAAUAUUAGACCUAGGAAAUGUAAAUACAAGAUAUAAUCUAAGAUGCAAAAGUAAAAGUACAUUGACCUCAUUAUUUGUGACAUGUGUCUUGCAUGCCGUUGGUCAUGGGUUCUUGACACUUCAACCUUCCCAAAAACUCAUGGUUGCAUGGUGGUUGGAGGUGUGGAAUGAUAUUUCCCCGCAUCCUCGUCGUGUGCAGUGGUGAAACUGAAUAAGUUCAACUUGCUUGGUGUGAAGGUUGAAUUCGGGAUUGUGGGGUAAAGUUUUGGUGCGUUUAGGGUGGCAUGAUGUGUGCCUCAAUCCUAUCUUGGUUGAAAUUGUUGUUGUGUUGAUUAGCAUGGUUGUUGGUAGUAACAAUGGUGUAUGAAAGCCACAUAUGUUACGAAUGUUCUCUAAUAUGGAUGAGAUGAUGUGGCAAUGAUUGAGAUGUGGGGUCGACAUUGAUUGUCUUGGGUGGGCAUGUGAAAAGGGAUCCCGAUGCAAUUCACUAUGUGUAUAAGGCAGACAAAUAUAGUAGAGCGAACACAAGAUUAUAGAGAAGUGAUACUUCCUUAAUGGUAAACUCCAUAUAUAUUGUUGGGAUAUAAUUUCAUUGCC